GAAGGGAUAGAGUCGGUUCGGCCGGGUUUCACACAGGUGUUGCAUGGCUGUCGUCAGCUCGUGUCGUGAGAUGUUGGGUUAAGUCCCGCAACGAGCGCAACCCUCAUCCUUAGUUACCAUCAGGUAAUGCUGGGGACUUUAAGGAAACUGCCAGUGAUAAACUGGAGGAAGGUGGGGAUGAUGUCAAGUCAUCAUGGCCCUUAUGGAGUGGGCUACACACGUGCUACAAUGGUGGCUACAAUGGGCUGCAAAGUCGCGAGGCUAAGAUAAUCCCUUAAAAGCCAUCUCAGUUCGGAUUGUACUCUGCAACUCGAGUGCAUGAAGUUGGAAUCGCUAGUAAUAGUGGAUCAGCACGACGGUGAAUA
rnacentral:rRNA from 1 species